rnacentral:rRNA from 1 species
GUGGGGAAUAUUGGACAAUGGGCGAAAGCCUGAUCCAGCCAUGCCGCGUGUGUGAAGAAGGUCUUCGGAUUGUAAAGCACUUUAAGUUGGGAGGAAGGGCAGUAAGUUAAUACCUUGCUGUUUUGACGUUACCGACAGAAUAAGCACCGGCUAACUUCGUGCCAGCAGCCGCGGUAAUACGAAGGGUGCAAGCGUUAAUCAGAAUUACUGGGCGUAAAGCGCGCGUAGGUGGUUUUGUAAGUUGGAGGUGAAAUCCCCGGGCUCAACCUGGGAACUGCCUCCAAAACUGCAUGACUAGAGUACGGUAGAGGGUAGUGGAAUUUCCUGUGUAGCGGUGAAAUGCGUAGAUAUAGGAAGGAACACCAGUGGCGAAGGCGACUACCUGGACUGAUACUGACACUGAGGUGCGAAAGCGUGGGGAGCAAACAGGAUUAGAUACCCCAGUAGUCC